AGAGUUUGAUCAUGGCUCAGGAUGAACGCUAGCGGCAGGCCUAAUACAUGCAAGUCGAACGGUGUCUUCGGACAUAGUGGCGCACGGGUGCGUAACACGUAUGCAACCUACCUUACAUUGGGGGAUAGCCUUUCGAAAGGGAGAUUAAUACCGCAUAAGACAGUAACUAGGCAUCUAGUAGCUGUUAAAGAUUUAUCGAUGUAAGCUGGGCAUGCGUCCAAUUAGCUAGUUGGUGAGGUAACGGCUCACCAAGGCAAUGAUUGGUAGGGGAACUGAGAGGUCAAUCCCCCACACUGGCACUGAGAUACGGGCCAGACUCCUACGGGAGGCAGCAGUAGGGAAUAUUGGGCAAUGGACGCAAGUCUGACCCAGCCAUGCCGCGUGCAGGAUGAAGGCGUUAUGCGUUGUAAACUGCUUUUAUACAGGAAGAAACGACUCUUGCGAGAGGCAUUGACGGUACUGUAUGAAUAAGCACCGGCUAACUCCGUGCCAGCAGCCGCGGUAAU
rnacentral:rRNA from 1 species